rnacentral:tRNA from 1 species
GGGAAUGUGGCUCAGUGGUAGAGUGCUUGCCUAGCAUGCAUGAAGCCCUGGCUUCAAUUACUCAAUACCA